CCUACGGGCGGCAGCAGUAGGGAAUAUUGCUCAAUGGGGGAAACCCUGAAGCAGCAACGCCGCGUGGAGGAUGAAGGUUUUCGGAUUGUAAACUCCUUUUGUUAGAGAAGAUAAUGACGGUAUCUAACGAAUAAGCACCGGCUAACUCCGUGCCAGCAGCCGCGGUAAUACGGAGGGUGCAAGCGUUACUCGGAAUCACUGGGCGUAAAGAGCGCGUAGGCGGGAUAGCAAGUCAGAUGUGAAAACCUAUGGCUUAACCAUAGAACUGCAUUUGAAACUGUUAUUCUAGAGUAUGGGAGAGGUAGGAGGAAUUCUUGGUGUAGGGGUAAAAUGCGUAGAGAUCAGGAGGAAUACUCGUGGCGAAGGCGACCUGCUAGAACAUAACUGACGCUGAUGUGCGAAAGCGUGGGGAGCAAACAGGAUUAGAUACCCUAGUAGUC
rnacentral:rRNA from 1 species